CUUGGUAUUGGGCAACGCGGUCCGCCGCGUGCCUCAAAUCGACCGGCUGGGUCUUCUGUCCCCUAAGCGUUGUGGAAACUAUUCGCUAAAGGGUGUUCGGGAGGCUACGCCGUAAAACAACCCCAU
rnacentral:rRNA from 1 species